rnacentral:misc_RNA from 1 species
CUCAUCAUCAUCUUCAUCAUCAUCAUCAUUUUCUUUGUUAACCUCAGUAUCUUCAUCUCUUUUCUGAUCAUCUUCUGAACCAUUUGGAGCAGUUGCACAAGCUCUAGACUUCCAAUUCCAUCCAUGCUCCAGAGGUGGGGGAAUUACUGGUUGUGGAGCACUGUUAUUGUUCUCAGAGCCCCAAUUGGAUGAUUGAGGCCUGGUAUUUCCUCUGCCAGCAGGCUUCUUAGAAUCAAAAGCCUGAGUUGGCCAUGCAUUUGCAGACAUCCUACCUGAACCACCAUUAUUUCGCAUGCCUAGCUUUUGUACCACAUCUGGAUGUCCCCAUGCUUUAGAAAUAGAAUUCUGAGAACCCCAGGAUUUUGCAGCACUGCUUCCAGCUCUGUUCU